rnacentral:rRNA from 1 species
UACGUAUGGAGCAAGCGUUAUCCGGAUUUACUGGGUGUAAAGGGAGCGUAGACGGAGCGACAAGUCUGAUGUGAAAGGCCGCGGCUUAACCGUGGGACUGCAUUGGAAACUGUCGUUCUGGAGUGCCGGAGAGGUAAGCGGAAUUCCUAGUGUAGCGGUGAAAUGCGUAGAUAUUAGGAGGAACACCAGUGGCGAAGGCGGCUUACUGGACGGCAACUGACGUUGAGGCUCGAAAGCGUGGGGAG